rnacentral:rRNA from 1 species
UACGUAGGGGGCAAGCGUUUGUCCGGAAUUAUUGGGCGUAAAGAGCGUGUAGGCGGUCCGGUAAGUCCGCUGUGAAAGUCCAGGGCUCAACCCUGGAAUGCCGGUGGAUACUGUCGGGCUAGAGUCCGGAAGAGGCGAGUGGAAUUCCUGGUGUAGCGGUGAAAUGCGCAGAUAUCAGGAGGAACACCGAUGGCGAAGGCAGCUCGCUGGGACGGUACUGACGCUGAGACGCGAAAGCGUGGGGAGCAAACAGG